AUUGAACGCUGGCGGCAGGCCUAACACAUGCAAGUCGAGCGGAUGAAGGGAGCUUGCUCCUGGAUUCAGCGGCGGACGGGUGAGUAAUGCCUAGGAAUCUGCCUGGUAGUGGGGGUAAAGGUCGGAAAAGGGGGGUAAUUACGGAUUCGGUCCGGGGGGGGAAGGGGGGGAUCUUUGGAACUUACGGCUAUAGAUGGAGCUUGGUCGGAUUAGCUAGUUGGUGGGGUAAAGGCCUACCAAGGCGACGAUCCGUAACUGGUCUGAGAGGAUGAUCAGUCACACUGGAACUGAGACACGGUCCAGACUCCUACGGGAGGCAGCAGUGGGGAAUAUUGGACAAUGGGCGAAAGCCUGAUCCAGCCAUGCCGCGUGUGUGAAGAAGGUCUUCGGAUUGUAAAGCACUUUAAGUUGGGAGGAAGGGCAGUAAGUUAAUACCUUGCUGUUUUGACGUUACCAACAGAAUAAGCACCGGCUAACUUCGUG
rnacentral:rRNA from 1 species